GACGAACGCUGGCGGCGUGCUUAACACAUGCAAGUCGAACGGAAAGGCCCUGCUUUUGUGGGGUGCUCGAGUGGCGAACGGGUGAGUAACACGUGAGUAACCUGCCCUUGACUUUGGGAUAACUUCAGGAAACUGGGGCUAAUACCGGAUAGGAGCUCCUGCUGCAUGGUGGGGGUUGGAAAGUUUCGGCGGUUGGGGAUGGACUCGCGGCUUAUCAGCUUGUUGGUGGGGUAGUGGCUUACCAAGGCUUUGACGGGUAGCCGGCCUGAGAGGGUGACCGGCCACAUUGGGACUGAGAUACGGCCCAGACUCCUACGGGAGGCAGCAGUGGGGAAUAUUGCACAAUGGGCGAAAGCCUGAUGCAGCAACGCCGCGUGCGGGAUGACGGCCUUCGGGUUGUAAACCGCUUUCGCCUGUGACGAAGCGUGAGUGACGGUAAUGGGUAAAGAAGCACCGGCUAACUACGUGCCAGCAGCCGCGGUGAUACGUAGGGUGCGAGCGUUGUCCGGAUUUAUUGGGCGUAAAGGGCUCGUAGGUGGUUGAUCGCGUCGGAAGUGUAAUCUUGGGGCUUAACCCUGAGCGUGCUUUCGAUACGGGUUGACUUGAGGAAGGUAGGGGAGAAUGGAAUUCCUGGUGGAGCGGUGGAAUGCGCAGAUAUCAGGAGGAACACCAGUGGCGAAGGCGGUUCUCUGGGCCUUUCCUGACGCUGAGGAGCGAAAGCGUGGGGAGCGAACAGGCUUAGAUACCCUGGUAGUCCACGCUGUAAGCGGUGGGUACUAGGUGUGGGGUCCAUUCCACGGGUUCCGUGCCGUAGCUAACGCUUUAAGUACCCCGCCUGGGGAGUACGGCCGCAAGGCUAAAACUCAAAGGAAUUGACGGGGCCCCGCACAAGCGGCGGAGCAUGCGGAUUAAUUCGAUGCAACGCGUAGAACCUUACCUGGGUUUGACAUGGAUCGGGAGCGCUCAGAGAUGGGUGUGCCUCUUUUGGGGUCGGUUCACAGGUGGUGCAUGGCUGUCGUCAGCUCGUGUCGUGAGAUGUUGGGUUAAGUCCCGCAACGAGCGCAACCCUUGUUCACUGUUGCCAGCACGUUAUGGUGGGGACUCAGUGGAGACCGCCGGGGUCAACUCGGAGGAAGGUGGGGAUGACGUCAAGUCAUCAUGCCCCUUAUGUCCAGGGCUUCACGCAUGCUACAAUGGCUGGUACAGAGAGUGGCGAGCCUGUGAGGGUGAGCGAAUCUCGGAAAGCCGGUCUCAGUUCGGAUUGGGGUCUGCAACUCGACCUCAUGAAGUCGGAGUCGCUAGUAAUCGCAGAUCAGCAACGCUGCGGUGAAUACGUUCCCGGG
rnacentral:rRNA from 1 species